rnacentral:rRNA from 1 species
AGAUUGAACGCUGGCGGAAUGCUUUACACAUGCAAGUCGAACGGUAGAGGGGGGCAACCCCCUUGAGAGUGGCGAACGGGUGAGUAUAUAUCGGAACGUGCCCAGUCGUGGGGGAUAACGUAGCGAAAGCUACGCUAAUACCGCAUACGAUCUACGGAUGAAAGCGGGGGAUCGCAAGACCUCGCGCGAUUGGAGCGGCCGAUAUCAGAUUAGGUAGUUGGGUGAGGUAAAGGCUCACCAAGCCGACGAUCUGUAGCUGGUCUGAGAGGACGACCAGCCACACUGGGACUGAGACACGGCCCAGACUCCUACGGGAGGCAGCAGUGGGGAAUUUUGGACAAUGGGCGCAAGCCUGAUCCAGCCAUGCCGCGUGCAGGAUGACGGUCCUAUGGAUUGUAAACUGCUUUUGUACAGGAAGAAACACUACUUCGUGAAGUAGCUUGACGGUACUGUAAGAAUAAGGAUCGGCUAACUCCGUG